rnacentral:rRNA from 1 species
AUCCGGGUUGCGGACAGUGUCUGGUGGGUAGUUUGACUGGGGCGGUCUCCUCCUAAAGAGUAACGGAGGAGCACGAAGGUUGGCUAAUCCUGGUCGGACAUCAGGAGGUUAGUGCAAUGGCAUAAGCCAGCUUGACUGCGAGCGUGACGGCGCGAGCAGGUGCGAAAGCAGGUCAUAGUGAUCCGGUGGUUCUGAAUGGAAGGGCCAUCGCUCAACGGAUAAAAGGUACUCCGGGGAUAACAGGCUGAUACCGCCCAAGAGUUCAUAUCGACGGCGGUGUUUGGCACCUCGAUGUCGGCUCAUCACAUCCUGGGGCUGAAGUAGGUCCCAAGGGUAUGGCUGUUCGCCAUUUAAAGUGGUACGCGAGCUGGGUUUAGAACGUCGUGAGACAGUUCGGUCCCUAUCUGCCGUGGGCGCUGGAGAACUGAGGGGGGCUGCUCCUAGUACGAGAGGACCGGAGUGGACGCAUCACUGGUGUUCGGGUUGUCAUGCCAAUGGCACUGCCCGGUAGCUAAAUGCGGAAGAGAUAAGUGCUGAAAGCAUCUAAGCACGAAACUUGCCCCGAGAUGAGUUCUCCCUGAGAC